CAUGUUACCAAAAUGAUGUAUGCAGCAAUUAUCUGGCCAAUCCAAAGUGAUUCUGUGCUCACUGCUGUCAUCAUAAUUGCCAUUGGAAUGUGAAGCCAAUGGAAAUAACCUGAGAAUUAGCCCUAAGUAGAAAUAAGAAGUGUGGAAUCUAUGUCCCUAUUCUCCAUUGCCUGAUACUUACCAGCGACUGCAAUGUCCUUACAUGAUGGGAUGCUUGACCAAAGGAAAGGAAAGAUUGCAAAGUGCUUUCCUCUCCAGCGCCUUUUACAUCUUAUAGUCCACUGAAACAUUCACGGUGGAAUCUCAGUCCUCUUGAAAUUCUGUGCGAAGUUGAGAGAUCUAAAGUCUCCUAAAUUUGAAGGUAGACUUGAAGAUAAAGACUUUUGCAUCAGCUUUAUGUUUUAUCAGUCAGCUGUCUUGAUGAAUUGCAUCUUUGGUAUGAUUUCUUAGAUAAUUUAUAAAAUUAUUUUAGCUUUACAUGUAGAAAAUUACUCUGUCCAAAAUAUAGCUUUAGACUGAACUAUCCCAUAUGUAGUGAAAGUGAGAGGAUAUUCUAAGAAAAUUAUGAAACCAUCUUUUUUAAAGGAAAUAGUGAUGUGGGCUUAUAUUUAAGAGAUAAUUAUAAAAAAUCUUUUCUGCCUCUUAUUUCCUCUUCAAUUGUUUAAGGUUAGGUUGUAUUCUAUAAUUCAAGUUUGAAGCUUCUCCCUGAAUUUUACCCAAAUUUUCAAGUAAUGAUAAUGAGUACUACAAGAAUGGUUAAUCAUUUUGUCAUUGGAACACUUAGCAGAAAACAUCACAAAUCCUUUUGAAAAUGGUAUGAUAAACUGUGGCCAUCAAAUUAAAUAUUUCAUGAUAUACAUGGAAAUCCUAAAUAUUUUAUUUUAUGAGAAUAAUGGGGGAAUUAGUGGAUGACAGAGUUGAAGUAUUCUGUUCAGAAGCUAAACUCACAACUCUUGCCUAGAAGUCUGCUCUGCAUUAUGAAUUAUACAUCUUUAUUAAAAUAUAUUCUGGAGGCAUCUAUGUGGCCAGUCAGUUAAGCAUCGGACUCUUGAUCUCAGCUCAGGUCUUGAUAUCAGGUGUUUGUGAGAUCGACCCUUGUGUUGG